GAUCAUGUUACUGAUAGAAGAAAAUAUGUAAGAUAACAAAUUCCAGGCUUUCUCCCUUGGGAUGUGCGUUCAACUGUAGAAGGAAUGUUUAUGAAAGAAUACAUUGUACUAUUUAAGCAUGCUUCAAAGAACAAAUCCUUUCUUACCUUGUAGAAAUUCAUCUCAGCUUUUUCUUUUCUUUCUUUCUUUCAGACUAUAAGUCAGUAGAAGUGAUGUAUGUUACCCAUGGGCCAGUUUGUACAGGGGUAGCUUUAUCUGGGCACGUCCUUACCUUGGAUUGGAAGUCUGUUGUAUUUAAUGGGGUGUUAACUCAGUUUAUUCCCUGGGAUUUCUGCAGUAAUUUUAUUGCCUGCAAAAGGAGCAAUUUGAAGCAGAUGAAAUGAAGGUAUGCUUUGUAACAUACCUGCUGAGUUUGGCAAUGAUGCCUGGACACCUUAUUCUGGUGUUUCUGUUUUCUUCAUCACAUCUCUUGCAUGUAUUUUACUGGUAGUCCUGCUUUGAGUUUGAGGGUUAUCUCCCUUCUUUGAGGAAAUAGAUCCGUAGGCACUGCAUCUGGUCUGUUCCCAAAUCUGUGUCAAAUGUUCUUGGCAGUGCAGGCAAGCAUAAGAAUAAUGGAUUCUGAAGUCAGAUUUUACAAAUGAGGCUGUUUGGUAGUUGAGUUCGGUGAUACUGCAGCAGAACCUAAAGUGAAUUACAGUCCAAGACAUUUAUAAUGUUAAAGAAAUGGGUUCCUCUAAUGCUGAAGCACUAACAGAACAAAGAGGAAAAAUCAAAGACAAAGAUAAAAAAUCAGCUUAAAGUGGACAAACUGUGCAGUAUGACAGACUUUUAUAAAGACUUCUCUCAGAUGCAGCUGUUUUGUGAGGGAGGAUGGUGUAGAUCAGCAUCGAUGCCUUAGGACACAAAGCUCAAUUGUUCAGUCCUCUUGCACAGGUGGUCUUACAACUUCUAUGUGAUAAAAGCACAGACAACAGUUUCAUGAACAUUAGAAAGCAUUUGGGUGUUAAAUUACUGGGCAGUAUGUGUUUAGUGUGAAUGAGAGACACAAUGUCACUUGUGCGUGGUGUUUUGGAGGACAGACUGCAGUAACUUCAUCAGAUUCUUCUGAAGCACAACUUUGGCCUGAACUAAUAUGAAGUAUCAGGUUUGUCUCAGUUCAGUUUGUUGUCAUGUGGUUUUGACAUAUUUAUCUAGUAGGAAAUACUUCACAUUUAGAUCAACUGGUUUCUAAAGCCAAAGCUUCAGUGGAAAGGUUUUGGCCCCCAUGAAAUUAAUGAAAAUUUAGUUAUUGACUUUGCUGGAGCCAGGAUUUCUUCUGCAGUUAUAUAUGUGGUUAUGGAUUAUCAGUCCAUAUGGAAGCUGAAACUGUGUCUCCAACUUUUCCUAGACUCAUCCAGUGUCUCUAAUCCUGCAGCUUCAGAGAGAAAUCUGCGUGGGGGUUCUUCCUAAGGAAAAUCCAAGAGGAACUCCUGCAAUGUAUUACCAGGCUGACAAAACAUAUGUUUCUUCAGCUAAAAUAGCAGUGCUCUUUCACAUAUAAUGGGGUCACUGUUUCUCUGCUGUGUUUCUCAUGUUAUUGAUACUUACUAGCUGGGCUCCAAUUUGAUGAUAAAAUAUCAGCACUUCAAAAUCCUACCUGUGAGAGGGCUUCACAUCACCAAAAUGUCAGUCCUGUCACUUAAAGAAACACUUCUGUUACUUCCUGUCACUGCUGCUACUUUUUCUUAAUGAUAGGAAAUUUCAGUUGGAUUCCCAAGUUCUCUACUAGCAAUUUCUCUGAAUCCAGUAUUUCACUACCAUGGCAAAUGCAAUGAAGUUGUUCUCAGGGUGGGGUGGGAGGACUGAGCCUGGAUCCAGAGGAGCUAUGUUUGUUUUCCAGGCUCUCAGAUAGGCUCUCUCUGUGUGACAGAUACUGUUUCUGCUUUGUGCUCCAGUCAAUGUAUUAGUGAAAGAUGCUCAGUUCAGUGAUGAGGAUGUUAAAAGAACUGAUGUAGGCAGAGUUCUUGGACAGUGGGCUGUUUUCGUUCUGCUUCAGUUCUUCAUUGUGCAAAUGAGAAGAAUAAACAUCAUCCAUUUAGACGGAGCUGCCUGAAAAAGGGGUUGUGUCUUAGCAUAUGUGUCCAGAAACUACCACUGUGAUCUGAAUAGGAAUCUAUAGGCUUUGUUCUGUUUAAUCAUAUCCAAUUGGAGGUAGAUGAAUUAAGAGGAUUUGGGGUUGGAAAUGGUAGUUUCUUGUUGGCUUUUUAAUUAUUAUUUAAAGUAGACUUGUGAUAUCUUUUUUCUGUUUGAGCUGUACUGCCUGAAAUAGUGCAAAUAUUGCAGUUGAAUCUUAUUUUCAUUUUUCUUUCUCAGGCUUUGACCUUUAAGAACACAAGUGGAACUGCUAUCUAUACAAGGAGGUGGCAAAGGUCUCGUGUAGCCUUCUGAAAACAGUCCUGUUUUGUUUGCAUGACAUAGUAGUCAGAAAAUGUAUCAGGAAAGAAUAGUGGAUAAGAGAAAAUGAAUGGCAUGGCUGAGUGCAGUAGCCAGAAAUAACCUCCUGCCUGGGAUUGUUCACCUCACCAAAAAUUAUCAAUAUAAUGAAAGUGCAAUUUUACACCAUCUUUAACCAAAAGGGUGUAGUCUGCCUAGACAUACAUUUAUGUCAAAAUUCUUCAUUUUGGUCUGGAUACAUUAAUAAAAUGAUCCAGUAUAAAAGUCAGUAUCCAUAUAAGUCUUACAUAAUUUAACCAUAUCAGCUUAAAAGCUGUUUAUUUAGCAUACUAAUGAGCCCUGACUGGGUUUGUUGUCUACAGACAAGACUGUGCAUAGUAAAUAAUAACCACUGCAAAAAAUUUGUUUCUCAGGGUCCUAAAUUCACCAGUCUCCACAAUCUAUAUUUUCUCUUCAUAGGCUACUUAAUUUCUCCUGAAUUUCAGUCUUGUUCCUCACUUGAGUCAGUGUGAAAUGUGUUUCUUCUGGGUUUUUUGAAGAUUUAGAACAAAUGACAGGCUGACCCAAGGGGUUUAGCUGGGGAGGGAAGAACACUGAGUGCUGCUUUCAGCUAAAGAAAUCUUGUUUUAUUAGCCUAGUCUGAUGUUUGAAGAAGAGAACAGAUCAGAUUUGGGCUUCACUGGUAGAUCUAGAGCUGGCUAGGUUGCUGCCCUAGAGGGAAAGGUUCCUGUCAGCUCCAGAUCUCCCAAGAGACAUUAUUUGCUGAGCUGGUGUGAUGAGAAGGUUCAGAGGUAGUGUCAGUCUGGAUGGUUCAUUAGUUUAAAUGUCUGGUGUUGGGAGGUAUGUUCUCAAGCAAAGGCUUCUAAAUAUAAAAUAGUCUUGUGAAGUUUUCAUCUUAUGAAUAUUCACUUGUUGAAUUUACAUUUUGUUUUUCAUCUCUGAGCUCCUAGAACAGGGCCUUUCACAGAGGACAGCCUUCCCAUCUGUCUGAAUAAACUGACAGAAAGUUUUUGCAAAAACAGUGCCUUGUUUAACAUGUCCAUGCCCUCCAGCUAGUUUCUUUCAGAACACUCUGAAGACACAGCCAUUGUCACUUGCAAGCCUGAAUAAUCUAAAACUUGAGCAAAAGUUUGAUCUGUGCACCCUUGAAUUCAUUGACUGUAAUUGGUGAGAGUGGAGGUGCAGGUGGAACCAAUAAUGCACUUUUGCCUCGAGAGACUAAAGCAGUCUGGGCAGUGUACUCAGCACAGAAAGUUCUCGGUGAACUUGGGAGAGAGCAAACACAUCUGAAACAUGCCUGUAGGGCAUUUGGAGUGUCUGCUUGGGGGCUGCAGGGAUCAGCUGGGAUGGAGGGUUAUCACUUGUGCUUGCAGAGAUACACGCUGUGGUUCAUGACCUUCUGGCACCAUUAUCUAUGGCUGUCACUCCUCUGCUUUCAUGUGCAUUGCAAUCACGGGAAAAGGAGUGAAAUACAUAAAUAGGGGUAUGCAUUCAUCAACCCCUCAAAUGCUCUUGGGUGCUUGAUUGCUUCUAGGCAGUGGGUUUUGUUGUUCUGUUCUCAUUUACUUUCUUUUUUCGACUACAUAUCAAGUUAUUUCCUGAUCCGGCUUCAUAUGGUGGCUAAUGGAACAAAAUUGAUGCAAUUGCUCCAAAAAAAGGCUUUUAGCUAGUAGAUUCUAAUUAAAGCAACCCUUUUUUAUUUUUCAGAGGAGAAAAAAAAUAUCCUUCCAAGAGCCCACUUUCUUUGUAUCAGAUGAAUAUAUAUGCAAUAAUUCCCCAGCCUGAUGGAGACAGAAGUUGAAAUAUGCUUGGAGCAGUUAUAUUCAACCAUAUGUUCUCCGGGGAGAUGGUAUCUUUGAUCUUGCCUGCUUCUUCCAUGUGCUUGGUUGCUUAAACAGAUGGAGGUGAGGAGAUUUUCUCUGCUUCCAUGAAAAAUAAACCAACAAACCAACAAACUCCACACUUACAAACAUGAUUAAAACUAACCAAUUAAAUUUCACAUGUGUGGUAGGCUCUCAGUGACCAAAGCUAAGUGGAACUGUGAAAGGGUGUAGCUAAGGACCUGUGCUGCCUUGAUAUGACAUGGACUGCUCGUUGUGCUGGCUGGAUCUAAUCUGGUGGUGGGGGAAUUACCUUAUCUCUAAACCUCAUCUCCCUUCCAAAUCCACCAUAAUGUCAGACUGAGAAAUCAGUGCUUAGGAGAACAAAGACACAUCACAAAUGCAGCUUCCACUCCAAGUGCCAGGAGCAGGGUUUUUUUUUUUAAUCUUCCUUCUGUAUUAGUGAAUCUUCUUAAUAAGCCUUCCCAAGGUAAGUCAUUGCCUGAUCCACAGCCAUCCCCAGGAGGAAAGAGUGAUGGAAGGAAUGAAUUGUAGCUAAUACAUAGUAGCCUCAAGACCUGAUGAAAAGACACGGUGGGUAAGUGGUGCAGGAGGCUCAGUACAUGAGAAUCUCUGAUUUUCUUCCCUCUAUAACUGUCCCUGUGCUUCAGAACAGCUUUUCAUAAUUCCCUUCCCUUACUGUCCUAAAGACCAAACAGCCUCUUACUCCCCAUUUGGAGCAUUUAGGCUCUCUAUUCAUGGAGAACCAUUCCCUAUCACUCCCUACUGAACCUGAAAAUCUUUCCUGUCCAACAUUAAAAAAAAAAAAAAAAAAUCCUUUCUCUCUCUGUCCCAUUGCUGCUAGCCCCCUGCUCCUGAGCUGGCUGUAUCUGAGAGGCUUGAAGCCUGUAAGUGAUGCUGUUUGCUUCUGAGUCAGAGAGGCUUUUAAAUCUGAGUGUAAAAUGAGCCUCCUCCAGCAGUGAACAGCCGAUCAUACACCUCCUUUGAAGUUCCCAUUUAAAUAACCUCCAGGGCUUUACUAAUGCGGGAAGCCAGCAAGAGGAAGUAAUUCCCUCCUUCUCCCCUCUCCAAAGCAGGGAAAAUGAAUUCCCUGGCAGAGGAGGGACACUGGUUUUCAGGGUACUGCAGAGGAGAUGAACAGCUCUCGUUUGCAGCUUAGUUAGUGAGUCAGCACAUAUUCAUUCAUGGGCACAAUUUGUUAACCCAUGAACACUGUAGAUGAUGGUGUUAUCACUGUCAUAAAGUAAUUUUAAUUUGUUGUAUAAUUUAUAAGGUAGCUGCUGCAUCAGAGGGAAGCCUGUAUCUGCUCAUGUGUCCAGGUCCUAGGGUGGUGCUAGGAAGGGAAGAGAGGAUCAGGGAAACAAAAAGGAGGGGUCCUGGCAGGACUAUGGGAGCUGACCUGGUUGCAGACCAUUUUUUUGCUGAUUCCCCACCCUGUGGGUUGUUCCUGGUGCUGCUAAUUCAUUUAAAGGUGGAUGUGUGUUUUCAGGCCUCCAGCUCUACAUGUGAAUUGAUGCUUGGGCUUUUCCUGAAGGUGGACAGACACAUAGCAGGAGCGCAAGUGAGUUUGUGUGGCAUCUGACCGCACUGGAGGGGUGUUCAGUGGUACGUUGGAAAGGAGGGUAUCCUGUGCUGGAUGGGAUACCGUGGUGUUGGAUGUCAGCAUUUUAUGUUCUUGAGAUUAUAAUAGGGUCUUCUCUAUGGACUGAUGUCAUGUGGCUACCAAAUACGAGAGUAGUAAAGUCUUCUGAGACCUUUGUAGUUACUAUGUGCUGCAAUGAUUUAAUGGGACAGCUUUCUAGUGAGACAGCAGGUUUGCCCAUUACUGGAAGGACUGGGAACUGAGGAGCCUGGUGAAGUAACAUUCCUACUUGCCUGGAUAUUACUCGUUUGCUAGGUAGGUUAAGCAGUCAAUACCUAAACGAGUUCAUUCCUUUGUUAAGUGAUUUAUUAAAUAGUAAAGUUUAUUCAGAUAAUUAAAUAGACUUCAUUAGUGCAGCAUGUUAACUAGAGAAUGCCCUAAAGACAUCUUAAGUAAGUCUGAAGCUAACCAAGCUGCAUGAGGUCGGUUCCUGCUGGGCUCAGAGGUGCAGUACUCAGGGAUCCCUGUAUUUUCUGACUGCUCUUAAACAGGGCUUAUCUUUCUCAAGGAGAAAUACGUGCUUGCCUGAACUUGCUGUUAGUCAGUCCUUGGCCUGACUGAAAGUGUGGGGAGUUUCAAGGCAAUUAUACCUGUGCUAAUCAUAAUUUGCUCCUUAAUCUAGGAGUAUCUGCCUCUAUGUCCAUGUUUAUGCUAAGUUGCUGAACAAUUUGAUUAGGUGCUUUGAAUAAACCUUGUAAUUAUGCCGUAGAUACUCCUGAUGCAUUAUGUUAUUUUUAUUAUCUAAGUUAUCACUGCCCAUUGUUGUAGCACGGUAACACUUAGAGGCUGCUAUUAGAGCUGAAGCUCAAUUGUGCUGAAUACUGCACAGACAUGCAGUAAGCUGCAGUCUCUGUCCUGGAGGACUUACAGCUUGGCUGUACUAUUGUGCAUCAGCCCAUUAGAGCACCCUGAGAGGCAUUAGUGCCCCAAAUAGUUCCAUGGGUUCUGUAAUGGAAAUGGCCUCACAGACCUUUUAACCUGUGAAGGCAGCAGUGUUCCUGAAUUCAGCUUUGUCCAUGCUCUUCCAUCAUUAUCAGUGCUUGUUAGACAGAAUUUUGGGAAAUGAUAGCUUCAAGUGUGGUUGGAACUGGCCAAUUCUGCUUUCUCAGUGAGUCCUCCUGAGGGCGGAAGAGUAGAGCCAGGCCAUCCUCUUUGAUGUCCCCAGCAUGGGUUUCUGUUUUGUUGAAAGCAUUACACUGCAAGCUGAAUUCUUUCCCAGCUGUUCUGUACUUCGCCAGAUUUCCUUGACCUUGUGCCAGUCAAUGAUGAAUUGUACAAGUCCCCAUCGAAAACGCUGCAGAAGCCAGAGGAAUGCCAGCCUCACUGUGUAAUACAUUAAGUCAAAAUAUUUUAAGCCUGAGACUGAUGGGUAUGAUUCUUCUAUUUCAAUCUGCUCCUUCAGAUUAAAAAGCUGCUAAAAGCUUCAGCUUGUCUUGAUGCAUCUGCUGCUUCAAGACCAAUGAAUGGCAUGUCCAGGACUGGAGGCUGUGGGUAGGAGGAUGAUAUUUUGUGAUAAAUGUACCUGAUGGUGUUUUAUGCUCACAAAGCUUUUUAAAAUCCUUCUACAGGAAAUGAUCAGUCUGUUAGAGAAUACUGAAAGAGCAUCUAGCACUCCUUUAACUGUGAGGAAUAAGUAAUGUCUAAAAAGACCAUAGACCUCUAACCUAUGCAAAUUUAUGUCACUUUUUGCUUAUGUUUCCUUCUUACCUUGCCCUCUGUGGUGAUGUUACUGUUCGAUUGGCAGGAUAUUAUUUUGUAAUAUUUUAUGUUUCUGCUCUCUUACUAAUUCUCUAACCCCUUUUUACAGUUUUGUGGCUGAAAGAUUAAGUCUGCAAAGCAUUUAUAUGAAAAAACGUAAAAUAACAGAUUAAUGUUAUUUUUCUCUUGCUUUGCAUUAGGUUUUCAGUGUCAAAGUUUCAGUGAGCCAGAUUCUGUGGUGAUGGGAAUCAGUGGUGGUAGAAUUGAUUGAUUUGAAUUUAAUGGUAUAAGAAUAUGAGGACUUUCUGAGUAAGCUGGAAGGUUGGAAUCAUGCUCAGAGACAUAGCUGGUAUAGCCAGUUUGUAAAACCUUUGAAAUAAUGAAAAGGCAGAAAUAUCAUGCUUCUUCCUGUUAGACUACUGUCAUCUGUCACAGCACCAGUGGUAGAAGAAGGAGAGGUGCAGGCACUACAAAAGGCAGCUCAUAUUUCUGGAUGUGGCUGGUGGGAUUUAGAACUGGUUUUAGCUCAUGUGAAAUUUUGGGACUGAGGCCAAGCGUUAUUUCCAUAAUUUGAGGUUGACCCAUGGCUAGGAUUAAGGGUUUGAAUUCGAUUUGCUUUAAGUCUGAGGCUGAACUUGGUUGACACCUGCCGGUUGAGGUUCUAGGAAAUCAAAGGAAGCUCCAUUGACUGACAUGAAAUUCUGUUUUCAAAUACUGGUGAGAAAUCAAAUACUUUUUGGCCAUUUUUCAACAACAAAAUGAGAACCCAAACUGGUGAUGCUUAGGUUUGACCUCAGCACCCUCAUUUCUCCUGAAGGAGAAAUGGAAGCUGGAGCUGGCAGAGAAGAGAAAGAAGACGUCUGGCAAAUAGACAUUCAAUUGGCUUAAUAUACAGACUAUUUUGCUGCAGUGUAACUGGAGCCUCUUAUUAAGAAUCUGAUGGCGCUUCUAAACAAGGAGAGCUGCUCCCUUGGUGGGGGCAAUCUCCAAUCAUAUGCCAACAUUGCUUUUGACAUAUUUAUGACUCCAAUAAAAUCUCCCAUCUGGUAUAUUUUAAAAUAAAAUUGAAAAUUUAUCACUUUGCUUUAGUUGGUUUGUCGUUCUCCCUGAGAGAGGAUAGCCAGGCUGAGAUUAUUGCAUUGGCAGCCUGUCAGCUGAGGUUAGGCCGAGGUGUGAUUUAAAUUUCAAUACUUUCCACAUUACAGCUGUCUGGGGUGGGGAAAUUACAAGGAGAAAAGCAAAGAGUCUGUUAUUUUUAUUCAUUAGUCUCUCCUGAUUUGUUUUGUUUUUCUUUUGGUUAGCUCUGCUUACUGCAUAGAGCACCUGGAAAAACAGAUACUCCCUAUUUUUUCUGAAUUUCCACAAGCUUUGUGGAGGCCUUUGUCAGAGGCCUUUGGGAGGGACAUGGCAGACCCCAAGUUCUGUCUGUCUCCUCUGUAGCUGUGCCAUCAGGCUGGGCUGUGAUAGCAGGACGAGAUUCUUCUCCAGUUUAUAGCAUUUAGAGAGACUGCAACUUUCGGCAGAGCUAAGGGACCAGUGUUGAUUCCCAUUUCCCUGACAAAGGACUAAAGGAGAGGUGUGGAAGGCAUUUUGUUUCUCUUAACAUGGACAGCUGUAUCUAAGCAAGUCUAGAUUUCAUCACAGCAGAGAGAAAUGUACAUUUCUGGAAGCAGAAGCAAACAUGCUGUGGAUGUGCCUUGCUGUUUCUAAGCCUUUAUGAUGGGGUUAGGUCAGGCACUUAUAAACAAUGUGCAGUAGAUGAAGUAAAUCACCUGCCACAGGAUUUCCUUGUGUGUCCACAGCUGGAGUAGGUCUGGAAUGCGGAGCAGCGGAAGCUGAAUCUGGUGUUCAAGCUGCAAGCCAGAAUCUGUCUCCCAGUGGGUCACUGGGAUUUCCCAUUUAGUCUGUAGUGGACAGAAACUGUGGAACAAGAGUGGUUUCUCUGUAUGCAAACCUCUCUGAAUUGGAAGGCUGUCUGUAGGCCUUGGGCAUGCAGCAGUGUGUUCUGCCUCCUGCUUUUGAUUAAUGCUGGAGUCACGCCUGGCUGGCUGCUCUGGCAUUGCCCACUGAUGCGUUUGAUUAGGUGCAUUUGUUUCUGUUUAGGUACUCGAUAGUCUGACUGUAAAAUUAUCAGAGGUCUUAUCUGGGCAAUAAAAGAGAGUAAAAUGCCUUUAUCCUCUACCUCCAGCAGUUCCUUUGUUGCUCAGGUUGUGAUUGGUGCUAUAGUGGAACCAGUGGCUGCCCUCCACUGCAGCUGUAUCGGUAGUAAGGUAAGAGGGCACAGGGCUAAUUGAGAUGCCCAUGUGAAGUUUGCAGUAGUUUACCCUCCGUAAAAUCGAAUUGUUGGGUCCCCUAGACA